rnacentral:rRNA from 1 species
AUUGAACGCUGGCGGCAUGCCUAACACAUGCAAGUCGAACGGCAGCGCGAAUGGGGUAACCCAUUUGGCGGCGAGUGGCGGACGGGUGAGUAAAAUAUAGGAAUCUACCUUGAGGUGGGGAUAACUUGGGGAAACUCAAGCUAAUACCACAUGAGACCUACGGGUGAAAGCAGGGGAUCGUAAGACCUUGCGCCUUAAGAUGAGCCUAUAACGGAUUAGCUUGUUGGGGGGGUAAUGGCCCACCAAGGCGACGAUCUGCAGCUGGUCUGAGAGGACGACCAGCCACACUGGAACUGAGACACGGUCCAGACUCCUACGGGAGGCAGCAGUGGGGAAUAUUGGUCAAUGGGCGCAAGCCUGAACCAGCCAUGCCGCGUGCAGGAAGAAGGCCCUCUGGGUUGUAAACUGCUUUUGAUAGGGAACAAAUGCCACUUGCGAGUGGAGCUGAGUGUACCUAUAGAAUAAGCACCGGCUAACUCCGUGCCAGCAGCCGCGGUAAU